GGUUGUGUAGUGUAGUGGUCAUCACUCCGGAUUUUGAUUCCGGCAACCCCGGUUCGAACCCGGGCACGACCU
rnacentral:tRNA from 1 species